GAAGGCAAUUUGGCUACAAUAUCUUUCAUCCAAGGACUGAGUAAAUCGAACUGCCUGACUAGAUGGAUGAGACUCUCUUUUUUUACUUCCUAGGAGUCUUACCUGAAGCUGUGGGCUUGGAUGAAGAGGAUGACCUUACCAAAAGCAAGAGAACCAUUUUUUGGUUAAAGACAGGUCAUGACCGCAUGAGUGACCCUUAACCAGGGCUUCUCCCCACAUGCUGUGGACUACUUAGGUAUUAUGUAAGGUCUGUGAGC
rnacentral:sRNA from 1 species